UGACGCCGUCGCGACUGGCGCAAGGUGGGUUCCCACCGGGGAGCGACGAAGCAGCAGGACUGCGGGUCGGACGCCUGGGCCCGGCGG
rnacentral:ncRNA from 2 species